UCUAACAUUAAUGUAGUAAUUAUUAUGCACAAAAAAAAACAACAAAAAAAAAAAAAAAAAAAAACAUGCAACCAUUUCAGAAAUUCUUAGGAAAAAAAGGGGAAAAAAACGGAUUUCUGGCACAAAGUAAAGCCAAAUACACAGCGCUCAGAGUAGGCUACAUUAAAGAACUUGAACUGUGAUGUCUUUACACGCUUGAUAAUUUCAAACUGCUUCUGUCUUUCAGUAAGGAACGGGGUCCUUAUCUUCACCACAGAGCAGGAAGCUCCUGGGAAGCAAGGAAGCCGAAGUACAUCUCGGAAUGCAAAUAAAUCAAGAAAGAAGACCAAACUAAUUCAGUAUGCAAAUUAUCAAGACGUCAUUGCAGUCGGAUUUCGAAAGUGACGUCGGUCCUGAUGCUGCGUGCAGGAUGCAUCUCAUCUCCAUCAGCCGGUCCAGAUCUCUGCAGGUUCGGUGCACACAGGAUGGCCGACCCGCAGCAG